AUGCCUACUUCAGCAGCACAUAUACUAAAAUUGGAACGAUACAGAGUUUAGCAUGGCCCCUGUGCAAGGAUGACACACAAAUUCAUGAAGCAUUCUAUAUUUUU